UAGAGUUUCCUUCUGGCUCAGGAUGAACGCUUGCUACAGGCUUAACACAUGCAAGUCGAGGGGCAGCAUGACCUAGCAAUAGGUUGAUGGCGACCGGCGCACGGGUGAGUAACACGUAUCCAACCUACCGGUUAUUCCGGGAUAGCCUUUCGAAAGAAAGAUUAAUACCGGAUAGUAUAACGAGAAGGCAUCUUUUUGUUAUUAAAGAAUUUCGAUAACCGAUGGGGAUGCGUUCCAUUAGUUUGUUGGCGGGGUAACGGCCCACCAAGACAUCGAUGGAAAGGGGUUCUGAGAGGAAGGUCCCCCACAUUGGAACUGAGACACGGUCCAAACUCCUACGGGAGGCAGCAGUGAGGAAUAUUGGUCAAUGGACGAGAGUCUGAACCAGCCAAGUAGCGUGAAGGAUGACUGCCCUAUGGGUUGUAAACUUCUUUUAUAUGGGAAUAAAGUGAGCCACGUGUGGCUUUUUGUAUGUACCAUACGAAUAAGGAUCGGCUAACUCCGUGCCAGCAGCCGCGAUAAUACGGAGGAUCCGAGCGUUAUCCGGAUUUAUUGGGUUUAAAGGGAGCGUAGGCGGACUAUUAAGUCAGCUGUGAAAGUUUGCGGCUCAACCGUAAAAUUGCAGUUGAUACUGGUCGUCUUGAGUGCAGUAGAGGUAGGCGGAAUUCGUGGUGUAGCGGUGAAAUGCUUAGAUAUCACGAAGAACUCCGAUUGCGAAGGCAGCUUACUGGACUGUAACUGACGCUGAUGCUCGAAAGUGUGGGUAUCAAACAGGAUUAGAUACCCUGGUAGUCCACACAGUAAACGAUGAAUACUCGCUGUUUGCGAUAUACGGCAAGCGGCCAAGCGAAAGCAUUAA
rnacentral:rRNA from 1 species